UACAGAGGGGGCGAGCGUUAUUCGGAAUUAUUGGGCGUAAAGGGCGCGUAGGCGGCCAAACAAGUGACGGGUGAAAUCCCUCGGCUUAACCGAGGAACUGCCUGUCAGACUGUUUGGCUUGAGACCGGGAGAGGUGAGUGGAAUUCCCAGUGUAGCGGUGAAAUGCGUAGAUAUUGGGAGGAACACCAGUGGCGAAGGCGGCUCACUGGACCGGAACUGACGCUGAGGCGCGAAAGCGUGGGGAGCAAACAGG
rnacentral:rRNA from 1 species